rnacentral:rRNA from 1 species
UGGGGAAUCUUGGACAAUGGGCGCAAGCCUGAUCCAGCCAUGCCGCGUGAGUGACGAAGGCCUUAGGGUUGUAAAGCUCUUUUGGCGGGGAAGAUAAUGACGGUACCCGCAGAAUAAGCUCCGGCUAACUUCGUGCCAGCAGCCGCGGUAAUACGAAGGGAGCUAGCGUUGUUCGGAAUCACUGGGCGUAAAGCGCACGUAGGUGGGCAGUUAAGUCAGGGGUGAAAGCCCGAGGCUCAACCUCGGAAUUGCCUCUGAUACUGGCUGUCUAGAGUUCGAGAGAGGUGAGUGGAAUUCCUAGUGUAGAGGUGAAAUUCGUAGAUAUUAGGAAGAACACCGGUGGCGAAGGCGGCUCACUGGCUCGAUACUGACACUGAGGUGCGAAAGCGUGGGGAGCAAACAGGAUUAGAUACCCAAGUAGUCCCUGAGCGGGCUGGCAAGGCGCAU